CAGUAGCCGCGGGAAUACGAAGGGUGCAAGCGUUAAUCGGAAUUACUGGGCGUAAAGCGCGCGUAGGUGGUUUGUUAAGUUGGAGGUGAAAUCCCCGGGCUCAACCUGGGAACUGCCUCCAAAACUGGCUGACUAGAGUACGGUAGAGGGUGGUGGAAUUUCCUGUGUAGCGGUGAAAUGCGUAGACAUAGGAAGGAACACCAGUGGCGAAGGCGACCACCUGGACUGAUACUGACACUGAGGUGCGAAAGCGUGGGGAGCAAACAGGAUUAGAUACCCGGGUAGUCCCUGUCUCUUAUAC
rnacentral:rRNA from 1 species